UACGUAGGGCGCAAGCGUUGUCCGGAAUUAUUGGGCGUAAAGAGCUCGUAGGCGGCCAGUUGCGUCUGCUGUGAAAUCCCGGGGCUCAACCCCGGGCGUGCAGUGGAUACGGGCUGGCUAGAGGCAGGCAGGGGAGAACGGAAUUCCCGGUGUAGCGGUGAAAUGCGCAGAUAUCGGGAGGAACACCGGUGGCGAAGGCGGGUUCUCUGGCCUGUACUGGACGCU
rnacentral:rRNA from 1 species